rnacentral:snoRNA from 1 species
CAAGAGUGCAGAAAUAAAAAGCUUGAUUUUUUGCUUCUUUUAAAACAAAGAAACCAAGGAUUAAGCAGCGGCCAGACAACCGUAGCGAUGGUAUCCACAGAUGAAGGGCUAAUUUCUUUUUUAAUCCCUUCUUUGUCUACUGAUUCCAUCUCACACUU